rnacentral:RNase_P_RNA from 1 species
GAGGCAGGUUGGGCAAUCGCGGUGCCGUCAGGCAUCGAGGAAGGUCCGGACUCCAUAGGGCAGGGUAGCGGCUAACGGCCGUCCGGCAAAGCCAUGCACACGUGCAUGGACAAGCCGAGGAACAGGGCCACAGAGACGAGUCUGCCACGCGGGCAUGCCUUGGCAUGCACUGACACGGCCAUCUCCGUGUUGCGCAGCCGGUUCGCCGGCGGCGGCGUGGCAGGGUGAAACGCGGCAACCUCUACCCGGAGCAACAUCAAAUAGGCAUGCGCAGGCUUCGUGCCCGAAGGGCGGCUCGUCCAAGCAUGCGGGUAGAUGGCUAGAGUGCGGCAGCAAUGCCGCAACCAGAGGAAUGAUUGCCCGCCAGGCUUGCCUGGCGUACAAAAUCCGGCCUACAGACCUGUCUCACCU